rnacentral:rRNA from 1 species
CGCGUAGGCGGUUCGGUAAGUGGGAUGUGAAAGCCCCGGGCUUAACCUGGGAACUGCAUUCCAAACUGCCGGACUAGAGUAUGGUAGAGGGAGGUAGAAUUUCCUGUGUAGCGGUGAAAUGCGUAGAUAUAGGAAGGAAUACCGGUGGCGAAGGCGGCCUCCUGGACCAAUACUGACGCUGAGGUGCGAAAGCGUGGGGAGCAAACA